CGGCGUGGGGACACGUAGCUGGUGGGAUCGCGCCAUGGCCUGGGCCCCUCUGCUCCUCGUGGUGCUCGCCCACGGCUCAGGUUCCCUGGUCCAGGCAGCGGUGACUCAGCCGGCCUCGGUGUCCGUGUCCCCGGGAGAAACCGCCCGCAUCACCUGCUCUGGGGGUGACAGUGACUACUAUGGCAGCAGCUACUAUGGCUGGAUCCAGCAGAAACCUGGUGGUGCCCCAGUCGCUGUGAUAUACCAGAAUGACAAGAGACCCUCGGGCAUCCCUGCGCGAUUCUCCGGUUCCAAGUCCGGCUCCACGGGCACGUUAACCAUCACUGGGGUGCAAGCCGAGGACGAGGCCAUGUAUUGCUGUGGUGGCUAUGUUAGCAGCAGUGAUGCUGCUGUGGUGGUGAAGAGGGAUGGGAAAGUGAGACGCACACAUCCUCUGCUCCGGGGUUAACAACAACUAUGGCUGGUACCAGCAGAAACCAGGAACUGUCCCUGUCGCUGUGAUUUACUACAACAACAGAUCCUCAGUCAUUGCUGUGUGAUUCUCCAAUACUGCCUUGGGGUGCUGUUGUUGAGGGAUAACCAACGUGUGGGAAAGGCUUCUUGACGGGCUCUUUCACAGGUUUUGGUGAGUCCAGCACCCUUGGCCUUGGAGAUCCCUCUUAGGACCAUUGCCCUGUCCUGCAGCCUGGGCACAGGGUGGCCACCACCAGCAACUACCCAGACUGGAUCCAGCAGAAACCUGGCUCUGUCCCAAAAACUUUCAUCUGCAGUACUUGCAGUGUAG